AUACGUAGGUGACAAGCGUUAUCCGGAUUUACUGGGCGUAAAGGGCGUGUAGGCGGUCUUGCAAGUCAGAAGUGAAAUUCCUGAGCUCAACUCGGGCGCUGCUUCUGAAACUGCAGGACUUGAGUGCUGGAGGGGAUAGCGGAAUUCCUAGUGGAGCGGUAAAAUGCGCAGAUAUUAGGAGGAACACCAGUGGCGAAGGCGGCCUGCUGGACGACAACUGACGCUGAGGCGCGAAAGCAUGGGGAGCAAACAGGAUUAGAUACCCUGGUAGUCCACGCUGUAAACGAUGAAUACUAGGUGUGGGGGGACUGACCCCCUCCGUGCCGCAGUUAACACAAUAAGUAUUCCACCUGGGGAGUACGAUCGCAAGAUUGAAACUUAAAGGAAUUGACGGGG
rnacentral:rRNA from 1 species